GCCAGCAGCCAUAUCACUUUGCAAUUCACAACUAGCAACCCACUGAAGCUAAGCAGAUGUGAGCCUGGUCAGUACCUGGAUGGGAGACCUCCUGGAAAAAACUAAGGUUGCUGCUGGAA
rnacentral:rRNA from 1 species